AAUAAGACCCUAGUAAAAUAUUAUGUAGCCUUGUCAGAGCUAAGUUAUAGGUUAAUUCCCUGUGAGUCUUA
rnacentral:tRNA from 1 species